CGCGCGAUACAGGGUGACAGCCCCGUACACAAAAGCGCAUGUGUUGUGAGCUCGAUGAGUAGGGCGGGACACGUGGUAUCCUGUCUGAAUAUGGGGGGGCCAUCCUCCAAGGCUAAAUACUCCUGACUGACCGAUAGUGAACCAGUACCGUGAGGGAAAGGCGAAAAGAACCCCGGCGAGGGGAGUGAAAAAGAACCUGAAACCGUGUACGUACAAGCAGUGGGAGCCCCACCACCAAAGCAUUCUCUGGUGUUGAAGGCCCUGCAAAGCAGCAUCGCGGUGGCGGAGCGUCGUUUGCGACGCCCAACACAAAAAACAAGCGGUGAGUGCUUUGGGGUGGGGUGACUGCGUACCUUUUGUAUAAUGGGUCAGCGACUUAUAUUCUGUAGCAAGGUUAACCGAAUAGGGGAGCCGUAGGGAAACCGAGUCUUAA
rnacentral:rRNA from 1 species